rnacentral:lncRNA from 1 species
UGCAAGAGAAAAUGAUCACUGCUAAGGACAGGAUYGGCCCCUGACCUGCACUGAGAGGCACAAGGAUCCUGUGGGAUUCACGCGGUGGACAGUCCGCCAAUAAAYGCCCGUGCAGAUGUGCCCAAACCUGGAGGAUCAGGUUUGCUGACUCUCUGGGGAUCUGGAAGGCACACCUGAAUGGCAAUGAGAGCUCGUGGUUCCCUCUGCCACUGGAACAUAGCCACGGCCUCCAGACUGCAGGGAAUUCACACUCCUCCCGAAACGGGCACAACUGCCCAGUGUGAAACAGCAGGGUCAGCACCAAGAGCCACCUCACCCAUGCCACCAGCAGCAAUUCAACCGCUACCGAACGCGCGCAGGACUCCUCUCUUAACAGGCUGA